UACAGUUUGCGAUAGUAUUUCUCUC
rnacentral:piRNA from 1 species